ensembl:lncRNA
UAAAAAUAGAUUUUAAAGUCCAUUUGACAAAAGCUAAAAAUGAUUCUUCUCCAUCAUAGCAAUGGGAAAACUGUAAUUGAAGUCAGAUCAGCAGAUGGGAGCCGCGUGUCCAGCAUGUGUGGAUCCUGAGUAUGUUUUUAGCAUGUGAUCCGAGGCCGUGGCUCCAGACUUCAGAGAACAAUACAUAAUUCAUUACUGUCCUCGUUUUCCCAGAAACCAUGUUUUUGAAGCUUUUCCUUGGGCCUGGGGCUGUCUUAGCUGUUUCAGAAUUUGGGUGCGCAGAUUGAGUGAUAAUUUUAGGCUUCUAAAAUCAGUCUAUGUCCCCUCAGUCACAUGAUGUCAUAGGCAGCUGGUGUUGCCUUGGCAACUUGACAGAAGAAAAGUGCUGCUUUUGGUAAAACUUCGGGUCACGUGACCCAGCACUGUAGCUAGGGAAGACGACACAAAAUUAAUACCUGACUUCGCCACCAAAACAAACCCAGAUUCGCAUAAGAGAAAAACAAAUCCUGAACUCAAAGUCUCCUGUGAGUUAAUCACCCAUCUUGCCGUCAUCUGAAAGCCAAGUUGGUCUGACUUUGUCAUUUCCACAUGCGCCUCUCCCUGGCAUACUCUGAGACCUGCUCUUUCUGUCCCCUCCUGCUGCCCGCCCCGACCCAGGAAAGUGCGUGUGUUUCCAAGAAGGUAGCAAGCCCAGGAGACGUGACACAGCCAAUGAACACAGAGGACUUUGCACUAUCCAAUCUCCAUCCCCGGCUUCUAGCGCCCGUUGCGGUGUGGGGCUCACCAUGGCCACCACGUGGCUCUGACACGCUGGGAGAGCCAGCCGGAUCUUCCUCCUGGGUAAGACCCCACUCCUCCCAGGCAGGGAGCACCGUGGUGUCCUUCAAUACGACUUCGACGUCAGAUACGCUUGGGUUGGAAAUCCUCCUUCCGCUUCUCGCAUCAACACAAGGGGUGCACGUUCUUGUGCAACCAAGUCCCAGAUCAAGAUCAAUCAAUCAAAUAUUGCCAGCAUUCCGGGUGCCUUCCGUGCGUCGGCUGACUCGUCACCUCUCCUCGCCUUCGCACGAGAUAACAUUCUUCUAA